GCUGUGUCUCUGGAGUCCAGUGGCUCAUCGGGGCACACUUUCUGUAAGAUCCUGCCAGAUUUCUGGAAGGACAUGGAGCUUUCCCCUAGCUCUUGGAUAGGACUCCCUGCUCACACCGAUCUCCUCCUGCGUUUCUGCUCACUGCUGUCUCUCCAUUCCCUAUUUGUUGCCAGGAAAUUCUGCAGAUGACACAGCACGCCAUUCAGAAAAUCAUGGAAAAUGGCGUCUGGAUGCCCAACUGGGCUCUGGAAACCAUGGGUGCCACUGUUGAUGCAGAGAGGACAUCCAAGAGUUAUGGUGGGAAAGGCUGGAAGAACCACUGGCUUUCUCCACUCUUUUCCACUGCAAAGCCUCCUGAGACACUCUUGCAGGUAUGGCAGGAGAAAUGGUGACUGUGGGUUCAUUGCCUCGCCUUCUGGCUGCAGGAGCAAGUGUGCAGCAAUUUCCUUUGGCCCAGCUGUACUGCUCAGCCCACACUCUUCCCCACAUUACUGACAGCAGCACUGGGAAGGUGAUGGGAUGACAAAUGCUGGGAGGGCUGCCUUGCUUGCUCUGGGCAAGCAGAGAAAGGCGACUGACUCCAGAGCUGUUGCCCAAACCUUUGCACAUUCCCCUCCCGUCCCUUGACUAGCAUUGUAUUACGAGGAGAACAGCAGCCCACAGAGAAGGCAAGCUCUGUGCUCCUUGCCCAACAGCCAGCUCUGGCGGCUCUUUGCCUCAGCGCUGACAGACGCGUCUUUCUCAUUUCAGCCCGAUAUUUCUCCUGGCAACUGCUGGGCUUUCCAAGGAUCUCGGGGCCACGUGGUCAUCCGGCUGCCGGAGAAAAUCUGGCCCACAGCUUUCACCAUCUGGCACAUCUCCAAGGCGGUCUCUCCCUCCGGGGAAGUCAGCAGUGCCCCCAGAGAGUUUGCUGUCUUGGUAAGUCUCUGCCUGCUGCUUCUUCUGGAGGGCCCCGGGCAAAAGUUUUGCCAUAGAGCCCCAUAAGACCCCACAGAGCCUCCAAAGAGCCCCAUAAGACCCCACAGCAGCAGGAGCUCCCAGAAAGCUGUGGUGGCCUGCUGCAGAGUGCGACAUCCUGACCAAGGGCACGGAGACCCUUGGGGUGGUUACACGUCUCCGGAGGCCUCUGCUGGUCUUUGUGGCUGAGCAGCUGGGAGCAAUUGCUCCACGUGCCCUGACUCAGGUUCACCCUCCUUUGUGCUCCA
rnacentral:lncRNA from 1 species